GAAGUAGACAUUCAUAACGGCCAUCCAUCCAGCAGAUUAUGUGGCAGUGGCAUACGUUAGUCAAGUUCAACAUCUUAGUGAAAAGUGGCUUCAAUGAGCAAUUAAAGCAGUUGUGUGACAGGAGUGGCACUUAGACAUCACAGUUUUGUUCAUUUCUAAUCACACUAUGCAAUGCUCAAGCUAUAACUGCCAAAACUGCCAAAAUUAGGCAG
rnacentral:lncRNA from 1 species